rnacentral:rRNA from 1 species
UUUCUUUUGCUGGCGACCGGCGCACGGGUGAGUAACACGUAUCCAACCUGCCCUUUACUCGGGGAUAGCCUUUCGAAAGAAAGAUUAAUACCCGAUAGCAUAAUGAUUCCGCAUGGUUUCAUUAUUAAAGGAUUCCGGUAAAGGAUGGGGAUGCGUUCCAUUAGGUUGUUGGUGAGGUAACGGCUCACCAAGCCUUCGAUGGAUAGGGGUUCUGAGAGGAAGGUCCCCCACAUUGGAACUGAGACACGGUCCAA